AUUGAACGCUGGCGGCAGGCCUAACACAUGCAAGUCGAGCGGAUGAAGGGAGCUUGCUCCUGGAUUCAGCGGCGGACGGGUGAGUAAUGCCUAGGAAUCUGCCUGGUAGUGGGGGAUAACGUCCGGAAACGGGCGCUAAUACCGCAUACGUCCUGAGGGAGAAAGUGGGGGAUCUUCGGACCUCACGCUAUCAGAUGAGCCUAGGUCGGAUUAGCUAGUUGGUGGGGUAAGUGCCUACCAAGGCGACGAUCCGUAACUGGUCUGAGAGGAUGAUCAGUCACACUGGAACUGAGACACGGUCCAGACUCCUACGGGAGGCAGCAGUGGGGAAUAUUGGACAAUGGGCGAAAGCCUGAUCCAGCCAUGCCGCGUGUGUGAAGAAGGUCUUCGGAUUGUAAAGCACUUUAAGUUGGGAGGAAGGGCAGUAAGUUAAUACCUUGCUGUUUUGACGUUACCAACAGAAUAAGCACCGGCUAACUUCGUG
rnacentral:rRNA from 1 species